UACGUAGGGGGCAAGCGUUGUCCGGAUUUAUUGGGCGUAAAGAGCGUGUAGGCGGCUAGAUAGGUCCGUUGUGAAAACUCGAGGCUCAACCUCGAGACGUCGAUGGAAACCAUCUGGCUAGAGUCCGGAAGAGGAGAGUGGAAUUCCGUGGUGUAGCGGUGAAAUGCGUAGAGAUCGGGAGGAACAUCAGUGGCGAAGGCGGCCAUCUGGGACAACACUGACGCUGAAGCACGAAAGCGUGGGGAGCAAACAGGG
rnacentral:rRNA from 1 species